CUUUACUGCUAGCACAUAUAAACCAGGUGCUAAUGCCUCUGGGGCGUGCGUCAUGGUCGAAACCCCGCCCCUUUAUGCCCUAGUACGGAGUGUGAUGCUGGGCGCCUCGUGUUAUACACGACAGCGGGGGUCUAAUGAGUGUGCUGGUGGGUUGAAACGUACUGUUUGUAAGUUCAAUGCUGUUUGUUUGACGCGUUGAAUGAAGUCUGGUGUUAAUGUAAUACAUGCUCAUUACAUUGCUGUUAAUAUGGCCAAAAUCGCAGCGAUUGCUGUGGCUGUUGUAAAGGCUGAAAAAAGUUCUUAUAUGAGCGUUGUGGACAUCACUGUGAGCGUUACGUCGUCGGUGAGUCAGCUUGGCAAGUCUAAUUUAAAACUAGAUGACCUAGAAUGGUUUUUAAUUGAGAUUUUAAUGUAAUGUUUUGUAUGCUUUGUGCUAAAAAAGAAUGAGUGAGGGCAGUCAAGGCAGCGCGUCUCCUCUGUUCGUCCUCUGAGCCACUCUGAUACUUGACCUAAAAAUGAAAAUUCUGUCAUUUACUCGCCCUCGAGUUGUUUCAAAUCUGUAUAAUUUUAUUCAUAAUGAACACCGAGAAAGAUAUGAGGAAGAAUGCUUAUAACCAAAAAAUUCUCGCCCCCCAUUGACUCCCAUUGUAAGAGAAAUUACUUUAUCAAUGUUUUAUUCUGUUGAUCACAAAAGUGUUCUUUGGGGAACUUUUGACUACCAUUGUAUUUUUCCUGCUAUGGUAGUCAAUGGGGGGCCAAAUGAGUUUGGUUAUAAGCAUUCUUCCAAAUAUCUUUAUCUGUGUUCAUGAGAACAAAUAAAUGUAUACAGAUUUGGAACAACUCGAAGGAGAGGAAAUGACAAAAUGUUCAUUUUUGGGUGAACCGUCCCUUUAAUUACAGCAUGGCCUAGUAUCCAAGUGAGUAUUUUCCCAUUUUUAUAUAUUUUUUUUCUAUUUGUGCGAGUUCUUUUAUUGUCACUAUUGUGAAAGUGACCUAUUAGUCAGAUAUGGUGACCCAUACCCGAAAUGUGACCUCUGCAUUUAACCCAUCCAGAGAGUAGUGAACACACGCACAGCAAGUGGUGAACACACGUACACCCGGAGCAGUGGGCAGCUAUCACUGCAGCACCCGGGGAGCAAGUAGGGGUAAGGUGCCUUGCUCAAGGGCUCCUCAGUCGUUACCCGCCGGCCCUGAGAAUCCAACCUGCAACCUUCUGGUCACGAGUCCGACUCUCUAACCAUUAGGCCACGUAUUGUGAUGAUGACAACCAUGUGGAAACUGUGACGUUGGUCAUUUUGUAAUUUCAUGAUCCUUAAAGUGUUCGUUCACCCAAAACUGAAAAUUCUGUCAUCAUUUGCUCACCGUCAGGUUGUUGCAAACCUGUAUACAGCACUUUGUUCUGUUAAACAUAAAGUGAGAUAUUUUGAAGAAUUUAGGAACACAAAUAGUGCAGGUUCACCUUUGACUUCCAUUUUAUUUUUCCUACUAUGGCAGUCAAUGAUGUCACAGAAUUUAAAAUUGGUAACAUUCGCCCUAAUAUCUUUCUGUGUUCAUCAGAACAAAGUAAUUUAUACAGGUAUGAAAUGACAUGAGGGUGAGCAAAUGAUUUUGAGGGUGAGAUCAUUUUUGGGUGAACUAUCCCUUUAACUGGUCUUGGGUUAUGUGAUGUUUCUACACUUCUGUGAUUCCAUUGGUGUAGGUAUGCCCAGUGUCCCUGCCAUUACAAUCUUGAGCAAUUGUAUCGAUUACUGCUAUACGGUAACUGUGGUUUGUGUCGUUUUGAGACUUUAGCAUUUCGACAGGUAUUAGUAGUGACAGUAAAAAGUUGGUUUUCUGUUUUUGCUUGUCGGUGACUAUGUACUUUAAGAUUAUGGUCAUUUGUUUGUGUUUGAGUUGGUUUCUUUUGAGUUUUCUUUAUGUAGUAGUAUGUGUAUUAAAUUGAUUCUUUUCUAAUAGUUUUUUUUUCUUGUUUUUAGGAGCUGAGUGCUUCCAGUAGCAGGCUGGUUCGUGGUGUUGCAUCCCCAAGGGUUGUCACUAUUGCUGUGUCAUCGAUUGCUGUGUAUUUUGUGACUUUAUUGGUGUGCUUUGGAUGUGUAUAAUGUGUGCUGCUGUACCAGCCCGCUCCUUUAUGUAGGAAGCCUCAGUCUCCUGUUUUGUUUUUUAUUUAUGGUCUGUUCUGUGUUGGCCAAACAUUUUAAAGUAACUUAAAAUAAAAAAACCUUUUGUACCAUUA